rnacentral:rRNA from 1 species
UACGUAGGCAGCAAGCGUUGUUCGGAAUUACUGGGCGUAAAGAGUGUGUAGGCGGCUUUGCAAGUUUGGUGUGAAAUCUCCCGGCUUAACUGGGAGGGUGCGCCGAAAACUGCAAGGCUCGAGUGCUGGAGAGGAGAGCGGAAUUCCUGGUGUAGCGGUGAAAUGCGUAGAUAUCAGGAGGAACACCGGUGGUGUAGACGGCUCUCUGGACAGUCACUGACGCUGAGACACGAAAGCGUGGGGAGCAAACAGG